CACUGGCACAACAACUGCUGCUACAACAGCUGUAGUUGAAACAACCACCUCAGUGCCACAGCCCUCAACAACUAGCCCUGAAACAACAGUUGUAACUUCAACACCAACCGUUGAGACGGAGACAACAGUGACCACAGAAGUAACAACAGAAGGUACUACAGCCAAACCCACUGAAACUUCGACAUCCGAGGUUUCAACAGCUGCGACUGUAUCAACAACAAAGCCACUUAAAGAAGAAACCACUGGCACAACAACUUCUGCUACAACAGCUGUAGUUGAAACCACUACCUCAGUGCCACAGCCCUCAACAACUAGCCCUGAAACAACAGUUGUAACUUCAACACCAACCGUUGAGACAGUGACAACAGUGACUACAGUGACUACAUCAGUAACAACAGAAGGUACUACAGAAAAACCCACUGAAACUUCAACCUCCGAGGUUUCAACAGCUGCGACUGUAUCAACAACAAAGCCACUUAAAGAAGAAACCACUGGCACAACAACUGCUGCUACAACAGCUGUAGUUGAAACAACCACCUCAGUGCCACAGCCCUCAACAACUAGCCCUGAAACAACAGUUGUAACUUCAACACCAACCGUUGAGACGGAGACAACAGUGACCACAGAAGUAACAACAGAAGGUACUACAGCCAAACCCACUGAAACUUCCACAUCCGAGGUUUCAACAGCUGCGACUGUAUCAACAACAAAGCCACUUAAAGAAGAAACCACUGGCACAACAACUUCUGCUACAACAGCUGUAGUUGAAACAACCACCUCAGUGCCACAGCCCUCAACAACUAGCCCUGAAACAACAGUUGUAACUUCAACAUCAACCGUUGAGACGGAGACAACAGUGACUACAGAAGUAACAACAGAAGGUACUACAGCCAAACCCACUGAAACUUCGACAUCCGAGGUUUCAAAAGCUGCGACUGUAUCAACAACAAAGCCACUUGAAGAAGAAACCACUGGCACAACAACUGCUGCUACAACAGCUGUAGUUGAAACAACCACCUCAGUGCCACAGCCCUCAACAACUAGCCCUGAAACAACAGUUGUAACUUCAACACCAACCGUUGAGACGGAGACAACAGUGACCACAGAAGUAACAACAGAAGGUACUACAGCCAAACCGACUGAAACUUCGACAUCUGAGGUUUCAACAGCUGCGACUGUAUCAACAACAAAGCCACUUAAAGAAGAAACCACUGGCACAACAACUUCUGCUACAACAGCUGUAGUUGAAACAACCACCUCAGUGCCACAGCCCUCCACAACUAGUCCUGAAACAACAGUUGUUACUUCAACAUCAACCGUUGAGACGGAGACAACAGUGACUACAUCAGUAACAACAGAAGGUACUACAGAAAAACCCACUGAAAUUACAACCUCAGAGGUUUCAACAGCUGCGACUGUAUCAACAACAAAGCCACUUAAAGAAGAAACCACUGGCACAACAACUGCUGCUACAACAGCUGUAGUUGAAACAACCACUUCAGUGCCACAGCCCUCAACAACUAGCCCUGAAACAACAGUUGUAACUUCAACCUCAACUGUUGAGACGGAGACAACAGUGACUACAUCAGUAACAACAGAAGGUACUACAGAAAAACCCACUGAAACUUCGACAUCCGAGGUUUCAACAGCUGCGACUGUAUCAACAACAAAGCCACUAAAAGAAGAAACCACUGGCACAACAGCUGUGGUUGAAACCACUACCUCAGUGCCACAGCCCUCAACAACUAGCCCUGAAACAACAGUUGUAACUUCAACACCAACCGUUGAGACAGUGACAACAGUGACCACAGUGACU
ensembl:lncRNA